UUGGAGUCUGCAACCCGACUCCAUGAAGCUGGAUUCGCUAGUAAUCGCGCAUCAGCCACGGCGCGGUGAAUACGUUCCCGGGCCUUGUACACACCGCCCGUCAAGCCAUGGAAGCCGGGAGUGCCUGAAGUGCGUGACCGCAAGGAGCGCCCUAAGGCAAUACCGGUGACUGGGGCUAAGUCGUAACAAGGUACC
rnacentral:rRNA from 1 species